AGGACGAACGCUGGCGGCGUGCUUAACACAUGCAAGUCGAGCGGAAAGGCCCUUCGGGGUACUCGAGCGGCGAACGGGUGAGUAACACGUGAGUAAUCUGCCCAUCGCUUCAGGAUAGCCAUCGGAAACGGUGAUUAAUACUGGAUAUGACAUUCCUUCGCAUGUUGGGGUGUGGAAAGUUUUUUCGGCGGUGGAUGUGCUCGCGGCCUAUCAGCUUGUUGGUGGGGUAAUGGCCUACCAAGGCUUUGACGGGUAGCCGGCCUGAGAGGGUGACCGGCCACACUGGGACUGAGACACGGCCCAGACUCCUACGGGAGGCAGCAGUGGGAAUAUGGACAAUGGGCGAAGCCUGAUCCAGCAACGCCGCGUGAGGAUGACGGCCUUCGGGUGUAACCGUCUUCAGCACAGACGAAGUUUGUCGUUUUUUGGUGUAAGUGACGGUAUGUGCAGAAGAAGGACCGCCAACGUACGUGCCAGCAGCCGC
rnacentral:rRNA from 1 species